AUUGAACGCUGGCGGCAGGCCUAACACAUGCAAGUCGCACGAGUGGCGGACGGGUGAGUAAUGUCUGGGAAACUGCCUGAUGGAGGGGGAUAACUACUGGAAACGGUAGCUAAUACCGCAUACCAUCGGAUUUGCCCAGAUGGGAUUAGCUAGUAGGUGGGGUACAGGCUCACCUAGGCGACGAUCCCUAGCUGGUCUGAGAGGAUGACCAGCCACACUGGAACUUAGACACGGUCCAGACUCCUACGGGAGGCAGCAGGGGGGAAUAUGGGCCAAUGGGCGCAAGCCUGAGGCAGCCAUGCCGCGUGUAUGAAGAAGGCCUUCGGGUUGUAAAGUACUUUCAGCGGGGAGGCGUUACCCGCAGAAGAAGCACCGGAGAACUCCGUGCCAGCAGCCGCGGUAAUUC
rnacentral:rRNA from 1 species